CCUGGCAACCCCACGUGCUGCGGAUUAGUGCACUUCCGGCGUGGAGCGCACUUUCAGCAGUCUGAUUGCCGAGGGUGAGCUCGCUGGCAGAGGAACUUGCGCCUUCCAACUCUUAGGUUUGUUGCGUUGGGGUCGCAGUCGACUUUAAUGGGAACCAAGCAAGGCAUCCAGUGGCCUCUGCCAUCAGCAUGUUAUGACACAAGAAGGUCCUCACCAGAAGCCAACUGAAUGCCGCACCAUACCCUUGGAAUUCCCAGAAUCCAGAAUUGUAAGAAAUAAAUUAAUUUUCUUUAAAAAA